rnacentral:rRNA from 1 species
UACGGAGGGUGCAAGCGUUGUUCGGAAUCAUUGGGCGUAAAGCGCGUGUAGGCGGCUUGGCAAGUCGGGUGUGAAAUCCCGGGGCCCAACCCCGGAACUGCAUUCGAAACUGCCUCGCUAGAGUCCCGGAGAGGAAGGCGGAAUUCCCGGUGUAGAGGUGAAAUUCGUAGAGAUCGGGAGGAACACCAGCGGCGAAGGCGGCCUUCUGGACGGUGACUGACGCUGAGACGCGAAGGCGUGGGGAGCAAACAGG